UCCUCAGUAGCUCAGCGGUAGAGCGUUCGGCUGUUAACCGAAUGGUCGUUGGUUCAAGUCCAACCUGGGGAG
rnacentral:tRNA from 1 species